CGCCUAACAUGCAGUCGAGCGAGAUCUUCGGAUCUAGCGGCGGACGGGUGAGUAACGCGUGGGAACGUGCCCUUCUCUACGGAAUAGUCCCGGGAAACUGGGUUUAAUACCGUAUACGCCCUUCGGGGGAAAGAUUUAUCGGAGAAGGAUCGGCCCGCGUUGGAUUAGGUAGUUGGUGGGGUAAUGGCCUACCAAGCCGACGAUCCAUAGCUGGUUUGAGAGGAUGAUCAGCCACACUGGGACUGAGACACGGCCCAGACUCCUACGGGAGGCAGCAGUGGGGAAUCUUAGACAAUGGGCGCAAGCCUGAUCUAGCCAUGCCGCGUGAGUGACGAAGGCCCUAGGGUCGUAAAGCUCUUUCACCAGGGAUGAUAAUGACAGUACCUGGAGAAGAAACCCCGGCUAACUCCGUGCCAGCAGCCGCGGUAAUACGGAGGGGGUUAGCGUUGUUCGGAAUUACUGGGCGUAAAGCGCGCGUAGGCGGGCUGUUAAGUCGGGGGUGAAAUCCCGGGGCUCAACCCCGGAACUGCCCUCGAUACUGGCAGCCUAGAGUUCGAGAG
rnacentral:rRNA from 1 species